ensembl:misc_RNA
AUUUCUCCCCUCGUGAAAACAGAGAGCAACUGUUCAGGUGGGUGAAAAUAUCAUAUAAAUUUCUUUCAAAAACGACGAAACCUCCUCCUUUCACCCCUUCCACAGCAGUCGCCUCCAUGCUUUGUGGCACGUUUACGG